rnacentral:lncRNA from 1 species
GAGAGCCGACUGAAGGCCGUUCCCCUGCGCCGGGUGUACGGCGAUUCCUGCCUGGAUGGGACCGUUUCUGGAAUGAAUGCCGCACAGAAAUCCCAAGCCAGAAGCUGCCUGAGAAUGGUUCUAGGGGUGGGUCCAACGGAAUGGUUUUGCACUCGCCAGCCAUUUAGCAUCUCAAUUGAGCCUCAGUUUCUCCUCAUUUCUCAUUGGGAAUAAUCUAGGCGGCUUGUUAGGAUUGAAUGAGGUGAUGCGAAUACCUAGCUCAGAGAUAGGGAGCUCUACACCGGGGUACGAUCGUUACUGAUCCUGCCAAUGCUGCUGCUACUGUUGCCUCCAACAUAGGUUGUGCUCAGCCCUCAAGGGCCCUUGAAAUUAUGCGCAUCAUGUAACUCUUCUUUUUUCACCCUCGGUCCCCACCUACCAUCCUGUUUCCUGUUAAGUGAAGCUGUCUUCAGAAUUCCCUGGAAGAGAAGCAGAGGCAAAAGGGGGCUUUCUUGAUUGCUGACACUCAGGUGGAGGUUAAGGGUGCAGGUUCUCCUUCCUCAAGUUGGGAAUUACUGCCAUGUGGCCAUGUGGGCUCCAGUUACUGAUGGGACUGUAACGGCUCUCUCCACUAUAGCCUCAGGUUCUCUUCUCCUCUUCCCAAUAAGUGAAUGUUGACAAAAUGAUUUUUUUUUUUUUGAGAAGGAGUUUCGCUCUUGUCGCCCAGGCUGGAGUGCAGUGGCGGGAUCUUGGCUCACUGCAACCUCCGCCUCCUGGGUUCAAGCUAUUCUCCCGCCUCAGCCUCCCGAGUAGCUGGGAUUACAGGCGCCCGCCACCACGCCCCGCUAAUUUUUUGCAUUUUUAGUAGAGACAGGGUUUCGCCAUAUUGGGCAGGCGGGUCUCGAACUCCUGACCUCAGGUGAUCCUGCCCACCUCUGCCUCCCAAAGUGCUGGGCCACCAGGCGUGAGCCACCACCUCUGGCCGACAAAGUGAUGUUUUAAAUUACAAAAGUGCAUCUUUCUUUGAAGGCUUUGUAUUUUACUCAUAAAAUCAAGAGGAUAGCAAUUCCUUUCUCGUCCCCACUUUCCUUUUCUUCUAGGCCUUCACACCUCUAAGAUACCAGAUGCGGUUAUUUUUGGAGCUAACUCUUGAUGGGAAUUUAGAUCUGCAGAAGGUGUUCCAAAAAAAAUCCUAAUUUUCAGGUGUUCUCAAAUUUCCCAUUUUUACAUACCCCCUUGGCUUCUGAGACACAUAUAUGCCUGAUUUUUCAUUUAUAUUAUUUUCUGGAGGUAAUGAAAGGGUUCUGCCUGUCAAAAGGCACUUUGCUAUCUAAUAUGGAUCUGUGUCCCCACCCAAAUCUCAUGUUGAAUUGUAAUCCCCAAUGUUGGAGGUGGGGUCUGGUGGGAAGUAAUGGGAUCAUGGGGGUAGAUCCUUCAUGAAUGGCUUAGCACUGUCCCUUUGGUUCUCUUCUUGUGAGUUCUCACAAGAUCUGGUUGUUUAAAAGUGUAUGGUGUCGGCUAGGCGCGGUGGCUCAUACCUAUAAUCCCAGCACUUUGGGAGGCCGAGGCAAGUGGAUCACCUGAGGUUAGGAGUUUGAGACUAGCCUGGCCAAAAUGGCAAAACCCUGUCUCUACUAAAAAUGCAAAAAUUAGCCAGGCAUGAUGGUGUGUGUCUGCAAUCCCAGCUACUCGGGAGGCUGAGGCAGGAGAAUCACUUGAACCCAGGAGGUGGAGAUUGCAGUGAGCUGAGAUUGUGCCACUGCACUCCAGCCUGGGCAACAGUGAGGCUGUCUUAAAAAAAAAAAGUGUAUGGCACCUCCCCCCACUUCUCUUUUCCUCCUACUCCAGCCUUGUGAGGUGCUCGCUCCCCCUUCGCCUUCCACCAUGAAUGUAAGUUUUCUGAGUCCUCCCCUGAAGCCCAGCAGAUGCCAGCAUCAUGCUUUCUGUACAGCCAUGAGCCAAUUAAACCUCUUCUUUAUAAAUUAUCCAGUGCCAGGCAUUUAUUUAUAGCAGUGUGAGAACAGACUAAUAGAGUGUUCCUUCUGGAAACAGCAGGCUCAUGGGUUAGAAAGCAGCAC